UACGUAGGGUGCAAGCGUUGUCCGGAAUUAUUGGGCGUAAAGAGCUCGUAGGCGGUUUGUCGCGUCUGCUGUGAAAUCCCGAGGCUCAACCUCGGGCCUGCAGUGGGUACGGGCAAACUAGAGUGCGGUAGGGGGAGAUUGGAAUUCCUGGUGUAGCGGUGGAAUGCGCAGAUAUCAGGAGGAACACCAAUGGCGAAGGCAGAUCUCUGGGCCGUAACUGACGCUGAGGAGCGAAAGCAUGGGGGAGCGAACAGG
rnacentral:rRNA from 1 species